UACGUAGGGUGCGAGCGUUAAUCGGAAUUACUGGGCGUAAAGCGUGCGCAGGCGGUUUUGUAAGUCUGACGUGAAAUCCCCGGGCUUAACCUGGGAAUUGCGUUGGAGACUGCAAGGCUGGAGUCUGGCAGAGGGGGGUAGAAUUCCAGGUGUAGAGGUGAAAUUCGUAGAUAUUCGGAAGAACACCAGUGGCGAAGGCGGCUCACUGGACUGGUAUUGACGCUGAUGUGCGAAAGCGUGGGGAGCAAACAGG
rnacentral:rRNA from 1 species